AGGCGAUAAAGAUACUAACUGUGACACCUAACAACAACCAAAAGCAAGAAAUCCUCAUUUCCUCCUCAGGAAGAAGCCUCUCCCCACAAAUCUGUACAAACAUCACCUAGCCAGGUAGGCUCCUUACGUUUCAAGGGCCAAAGAUGCGGGGGUCACCCCAGGGGGUGGGGUCUGUCACCAGGGUGCAUGGGAAGUGACAGUUGCACAGUCCUGCUCCAGGAGAAUGGGAGCAACAGUCAGGGUCCAGAGCCCUACUCGUGAGCCCAGGGUCAGCCUUGUGGCCCUCUCUUGAGAUCCCAUCAGACACCAGCAUUUCUUCCUCCUUACACAGCCGAGCCCCAAUAUUCACCAAUCUGGGGCUUCUUGUCUCUACUUGGCCCUCAGGCCUGGCCUUCUCUUGGGAUGUCCUGCAUUUAAAACUUCCAGGGAGGGCAACUUGGGAUCAGCUGAUCUCCACCUUUCUUGUUAGUUUGGGUUCCCCAGAAAAAGACAAAGAUUCAGGUGCAAGGAGAGUAUUUGGGGGUAUCUCCAGGGAACACUGGGGGGUGCAUAGGGCAUUGGGAGCAGGAAGGAAAGGAAGCGGUAAAAGAUGCUGUGGGAGCAGGCAGCCCUGAGGUCCCCUGGGGCUUACUGCGUGGGGGCCACUGUGGACACAUAGCUACCUCUGUUAUCCCAUCCAAAGAGGAGAGAGCCGGUUCCUUAUACACCAGCUUUCAUGAGCCAUGUGAGGGCUGCUUCUGGAAUGUGAAUUCCUCACCUCUUCUGGCCUAUGCAGCAAAGGUGACACCAAUGGCCAGGAGGAAGAAGAGCCACAUGGUGGGAGGUGGGGCACCAACGUGUCUGCUCUAUCACUCAAUAAGAUCAGUACUACGGGACAGAGUUCUAGAACCAAGCCCACCCACCAGCCACUGGCCUCUCCUAUUUCUACUCUGUGCCUUUGGGCUGACAUUCCUGGGGCUCAGAGAGACAUCUCUGAAGAGAUACUUAAUAUAAGGAUGUCCCAAAUAGUAUACUGUGAGACAGAAUACACAAACAGACAGUGGCCAGACCAUAUAUAAAAUAGAACUCUGACCCACAGCCUGCAGUAAACUACCCAGGAAGCCCACCCCUUAUUUACAGUAACUGGCCCAGAAAUGCAGCCUGCUGUAUGUAAGUCAGACUUAGGGGGAGCCAGCCAGCUGUCUCUGACCAUCCACGAAGCCACACAACCCCUGCAACAAUUGGCCCAAAACAUCCAGGGCUUGAUUAAUAACUGACUGCUUUCCUAACUUUUGUCCCUGCUUCCAACUUAGCACCAGCCAAAGAAAGCCAAGUAUGUACCGGUACCCAGCGCACAGGGUGCCCCAUGUACAGUGAGCCCACCUCCAGCUUCCCUGGGCCCAUAGGCCCCCAUCAGGCCAUGCCUGAAGCCUUCAUUUUUCCCACCACAGAGCUUUCCCCUUCCUCUGCUGAGACUAGUGACAGGGGCUGAUUCCCUUGCUUCAGCAAGCUCUGCGUAGAUGGCCUUUGCUUCUUUCAUAUGACUGGUCUUUAUUUCUAUAAUAAGUUCAUCUCAAAUAAUUAUGUUAAAAAUUUGCAGGUUUUUAUCUGAUAUUAAAACUUAACUGGGCAUCCUGAAUUUUAUCUGCCAACCCUAAUGUUUUUCCACCCAUCUAAGUAUGCAGAGAAAGUCUCCACCCACCCAGAGUUGGAGGUUUACUUGGAUUUCACAGCUGGAAUGAAGCACUUUGAAUCUGGAAGGCACAAGCCUAUAGCAGUAAAGAACGAUGAUGGUAAAUAACAUCCACCACAGACCGAACUUCGUGCUACAAAACUGGUGAAGAAGCGAUUACAACGAACAUUCUACAGCACGGGCAGGAGAGCGACGUGCGAAGCCCGCGGAAAGCUGCACGACUCCCGUAUGUAGACACCGCGCCAGCCUCGCAAUCUUUGACCUACUGGAGUCAGACUCCUGCUGGCACCCUACCUACCAAAAUAAUCUGAAAAUCAGGGAGAAAAGCCUUUGAAACCAGCCAGAUGGGUUUAUAGCAGGACUAAAAUGGAAGAAAGAGAGAAAGAAGUAGAUUACUUGGGUGAUCAAAAUUUUUCUUCGGUUUAACUUUCUAUCACAAGGACAACAUUAGAAAAAAAACAAAUCCAUCAGGAAAUUGUACUUCUGAUGACAAAUGUGUUUUUUUUUAGGUCCUUAAGACAUUUUAUAAAUCCCCAGAUAACUGUGUGAUGAAAGGCCAUUUUCUCUGUCAAAAACUUAUUAGCUCAAGCUGAAAUGCCAUUUGUACACAUUUUCUUCAUUUAACCUGAUUUUGGCCAUGAAUCCGAUCAUGCAUCAGAACCCAUCAUGAAAAUAUGCAAACCAUCCCGCCUAGGAUGCAAAUGCCAUAAAUGGCAGAGAAGACUUGAGAAUGUGUGCAAGUGUGUAUGCAUGCACCUGGACGACUUUUGUCACAUUUACCCUGUGACCCAACAUUAGUAGAAUGUUGGCAUCUAGUUUCAUAAUUGGAAUUUCUGAUUUCAUGUACUUUUGACAGGUGUACCAUGUUUUCAAAGUUUCAAAAAUCUCCUCCAGGGAUCUUAUCAACCUGAAGCCAGGUUAAUAACUAUUUCAUUUUCAAAAAAAACACCCAUUUAAAGAAUUCUCUGAAUUCUCUUGAUUCUCUUUGAACUUCACUCACUAAAAAUCAACCACAACUAUAGAGGUUUUUUCCCCUAUCACAGCUAUAAUAGACUCAUCAACAAAAGACACUUCAUUUUUUGGGAAAAACAUUCGCUCUUUUUUUUUUUAAAUAGCUUCAACCCAUAAAACAAGUGUGCACCUGAAAUUAGAUUUAAGUUUUUUGUUUUUUAAUUUUUUACAGGACAGCUACAUAAAAGGUUGCUGGCAGUUUGCAGUUUCUGAAGUUGGUACCUCUAUAGCAGAAGCCUUCUCUGAAUAUUCCAUGAGAAUAUCUACCUAGACUUCAUUUUCUUUCUUUUGAAAAAUUAAUGGAAACAGGCUAUUCAGUUACCCAAAGCACAAAAACAGCCAUAAACAACAUAUGAAUGAAUGAGUGUGGCUAUGUUCAACAAAACUCGAUUCCAAAUAUGAGCAGCUGGCCCAUGGGCCACGUUUACUGAUCCUGGAUCUAGGACAUGAAGAUGGACCAGCAAAGGAGACUUGAGAAGGAGCAGCCCGGGAGUUAAGAGGUGAACCCAGAGAGAAUGUUGUCUCAGAAACUAAGCGAAACAUUUUUCAAGAAGGGAGUGAUGAGCUGGGUCAAGUCCUGCCGGUGUGCAAAGUCAGAUGAGGGCUGAGAACUGAACGUUGGUGACACGAGUCGAUCACACUUCCCCAGUGGGAAACCUGAGAGGCACAAGCUCAAAGCCCUUCCUAAUUAAAGAAAUGGAAAAAUUCUCCUUAGCUUGAGGGCUGUACGGCUGGCAGGCUGGUUUUGGGCAGUGGGCCAUGUUUUGCUGACCCCCGGUUGAAAUGACAAGUUAAGGGUUUUGUUGCUUGCGGCUGAAAUCCUUCUAACGUCUCCAAGGGGUAAGGACUGCUGGUACAAGGAUGGCGACUUAAGGCUUCUUGUCAUUCUAAUCCCCAUUGUGAAGUGGUCCGCUGACAGGCAGGCUUACAAAUCUCCAGAGCACAUCUUAAUUUAAUUCCCACGUAUGAGAGAGGAUGAGUGUCUGCCUCAUCCCCCAUCCUCUCCUGACCUCUUGAAGCUGGUAACUCAAGGUUAAGGUCAUGGGUGUGGGGUGAGGGGCAGGACCUCUGUAACAGAAGCCAAGAUCUGCAAGGAGAAUGACCAUCUUACACUUUAAUAAGGUGAGUCUUCUAGGAGAGUCAUUAACAAGAACCAAAGAUCCGAUUGUCUUUUAGAUGCUUCUUCACUAUCCUACUUCCCAACCAGGCCAGAAAGGUC